GACGAACGCUGGCGGCGUGCUUAACACAUGCAAGUCGAACGGAAAGGCCCUGCUUUUGUGGGGUGCUCGAGUUGCGAACGGGUGAGUAACACGUGAGUAACCUGCCCUUGACUGUGGGAUAACUUCAUGAAACUGGGGCUAAUACCGGAUAGGAGCUCCUGCUGCAUGGUGGGGGUUGGAAGGUUUCGGCGGUUGGUGUUGGACUCGCGGCUUAUCGGCUUGUUGGAGGGGUAGUGGCUUACCAAGGCCUUGACGGGUGGCCGGCCUGGGAGGGUGACCGGCCCAGUUGGGAUUGAGAUACGGCCCAGACUCCAACGGGAGGCAGAGGUGGGGAAGAGUGCACAAUGGGCGGAAGCCUGAUGCAGCAACGCCGCGUGCGGGAUGACGGCCUUCGGGUUGUAAACCGCUUUCGCCUGUGACGAAGCGUGAGUGACGGUAAUGGGUAAAGAAGCACCGGCUAACUACGUG
rnacentral:rRNA from 1 species